GGUCCAUGAGCACCCGGAGCCGCAGAGGCAGGACAAAAGUUGUGAGUAUCCAAAGCUCGGGCAGCUGGCAGCAGUGGAGCCGCCGGGGCGACGACCACCAUGCGGAGACCGGCGCGACCUUUUGAGACGCAGCUGGACCCGCCCAGUUCGGCGCCCGGGUCAUUCCAGGGUCUGGGGCAGCGGCGGGGGCCGCGGGCGGAUGGCGUGAACCCAACCGCUGCAGGAUGCCCUCCAAACACAGGGCCCCGGGGCUGUGCGCUGCUGAGCCGAGCCAUAGAAGACCAAGAAGGCCACUGACAUCAUAGACAGAUUGCUCUUACUGUGAACUCUCUUCCUGUGACAUGUCACAUCCUCAGAGCAGAGGUCGCCCUCCUGGAAGAAACCAAUGUUUUGUGAGGCAUUCAAAUUCACAAUCCAGAGGCACUUAACAAGGCAAUUCCCACCAGUGACCACUGACCCUUACAGAUGAAACCUCAAAAGAGUGUGUUUGGUUUUUUUCAAGGAGCAUGGAAAAGCCAGAACUCAAAUUCUUUCUAUGAAGGAAGAAGAGAUGAGGGAGAGAGAGAGUAAAGAUGCCCAUGCAGCCUCAGGUCCUAAGAGCAUCAUCCAACAAGAUGAACAGGAUCCGCCCCUCCAACGCCUUCCUGGGACAGUCCAGCAGGACAGCAGGUGAGGGUGGGAAGUGGUACAUUCACAGUCACUCCAUAUGCUCGGUGCCAGUUCACUGUGUUUAAUUAAACGUGAUUUCUGUAUGUAGCACAUGGAUAUAUACAAACCCAAACAGAGAUGUCUGUAGGGGAAACAACAGCUUUUACUUAAUACCUCGCAGGCGCAUUGCCAGCACAAGCUGCUGAAAACUUGGGUAUUUCCUUCCUGGCUGUUUCUGUGAAGGUGGGAGGCAGGUGAGGAAGCAGUUACCUCUGCCUGGGGCUGCUUAAGGCCCAAUGGAGGCAUCUGUCCGUUGUCACGUAGGCUGCUGUCUCUGUAUCUCUGUGCUGGGCAGGCUGAAGAGUAGAUACACUGGAGGAAGUUUUUGACUCCUCUUAAAGAGAAUGGUUUUUACACUCAUGAAAAUCUAGCUUCAAGUCCCUGGGAGUUCCCGUUGUGGCUUGGCAUUCCCAUUGUGGUUCAGCGGGUUAAGAACCCAAC